rnacentral:ncRNA from 1 species
CGCUGACAAUGGCAAACCAGCCGCGAGGCUGGGACGCAAAGCCACCGGUCUCUUGUUACGAGAGACAGCGGGGUUUCCAGC